GCACUUUAGAGGGCGCUUUUGUAACAAAGCGCCCUCUAAAGUGAAGCGAAAAAAUAAUGAGGAAAUGGAGGGACACCAAUAGAGGGCACGUUUAUGAAAGCGCCCUCUAAGGGUACCCUUAGAGGGGGCUUUUAAAAAAGCGCUCUCUAAGUCCAUGUACAUUUCCAGUUUAUAAGGCGCUUUUGGAAAGCCUUAGAGAGCGCUUUCAGAAGCGCCCUCUUAGGCCCCCUUUAGA
rnacentral:lncRNA from 1 species